rnacentral:misc_RNA from 1 species
GAUGAAGAACGCAGCGAAAUGCGAUAAGUAAUGUGAAUUGCAGAAUUCAGUGAAUCAUCGAAUCUUUGAACGCACCUUGCACCCUUUGGUAUUCCGAAGGGUAUGCUCGUUUGAGUGUCAUUGUACUCUCACACUUCUAAAUCCUUUCGGGAUUGGGAGCGGUGGACUUGGGUGUUGCUGCUUUAGUUGUGGCUCACCUCAAAUAAGUUAGUGCAACUCUUGGUUGGACAUAGUACGGCGUGAUAAGUGUCUUCGCCGGCGCCUCUGUAAGGAGGGUGGCCGAUCGGGAGCUCUGUGCUUCAAACCGUCUUCGGACAAUCUUUGACAACUUGACCUCAAAUCGAGUAGGACUACCCGCUGAACUUAAGCAUAUCAAUAAGCGGAGGA